rnacentral:SRP_RNA from 1 species
GCUGGGCAUGGUGGGCAUGCCUGUAAUCCCAGCACUUGGGAGGCUGAGGCAGGAGGAUCAUUGCGAGUUCAAGACCUGGUCUACAAAGUGAGCUCAAUGCCAGCUUGAACUACAUAGUGAGACCCUGUCUCAA